rnacentral:misc_RNA from 1 species
AAAAUUUCGGCUCAAAUUAUUCAUUCAUGUGACAAUCAUAAACCACACCUCUCAACCAUUAGACUUGAAAAUUGACUCUAGAAAAGUACAAAAUCUUACAGUAACUUUAGAUUCAUUUAUGAGAACAGAAUUGCAGAAGCCAAAUCUAAAUAUAAACAAUUACAAGAUCAACUAAAUGCAACCAUCAGCAGCAAGAUGCCCAGUCCAUGUCUGAUUUCCACCUAACAGCUACAAAUUUUUUACUGUUUAUCCUUUCAGGUCUAGAGCUGGCUACUCAAAUUAUGAAGUAUCAUCUGUUUUCCCAUAAAUUUAUCCCAAUGAUUGCAGAGAACAGCAGAUAAUUGCGUGGCUGACCAAGUCAAUCAACGAAGAAGCAAUUUGAUGUAAAUUCUUUAGCUCAGGUGACCUUAACAUUCAGUACAAGUAUACUGAAUAAUUUAAGCCCCAAAUACGUAGAUGAGGAAAGAAAAGGAGUUCGCAUUUUGUCUUAUCAACAACUCUGCAUCAUCAAGGCAGCACAACAAUUUAAAAUGACCAAUAGUCCAUGAUGAACUGAUGCUUACCUCCAUAAGGGAAGUUCUUUAUGCAAAAUUUUAUAUUUAUCCUUGUUUCUUCAGCAAAAUAAAUUGCACUGAAUUAGAUACCCUGUACAAUGUACACCUUAAUUCCCCAAGUCAAAAUUGGGAAGUAAUAGUUUCAUUCCCAGACUAGGUCAAGAGCUCCUUCCCAUGUCUUUGCCAGUGAAUUCUCCACCUCCAAAGGAAGCCGCUGCAGCAGCCACAUCUAAACCACUACCAAUAGAUGUAAUUAGAGCCGACAGGCCACUGCCAGGGCUUCCACCAGCAGCCAUCCCCAAUCCAAGAAAAUCAAGGGUAGUUUGCUUAGGACCAAACACAGAAGGAGUUCCCAUCAUCAAUUCCUUUAAUCCAGAACCUCCAUCACAAUGCAAACCAAGUCCCAGCCCUGCAGUGACUGAGGUAUUCUCAGGCUCCACUUGCCUGUGACCCCAUAGCAUAUUGUCUUGCUGUGCAGAUGAUGAUGAUGACACAAUCCCAAGACCACGGAGCAAUGAUGCAUUUGUAGCAGCAGCCCCCAUUUGAGCAGCUUUUUGUAAUAGUGCAGUGGCAGACAUUGCUGGUUGAGGUGGAGGUGCAUAUUGCCUAAGCUCUUGCCCUGCAGUACCAAAUAUUGAUGACCCAUGAUUGGUUGAGAGGCAAAGAGAAAUGGGUUCAGUAGAUGAUGAUGGACCAAGAUCUGCAGGUCGAUCAGGGUGACCCAUGGCCCGAAUUAGGUCAGUAAAUGCAGGAGUUUGAGGAGGCUGUAAGCUUCCAGAUGCAGUUGAUGAAACAAAUAAACUAGCAAAGACACUACUGCUGGAGCUACCAUUGCUGCAUGAGCUGGUGCUACUGCUACAGCUUCCAUUUAAACCUGCCAGUGCUGGUGCCAGUGUUGGUGCCGGUGCCGGUGCCCGUGCCCGUGCUUCUUCUAUAAUUGGAGUGGGAUUAUCUGGCAACUCUGCAUUAGUCAAGCAAAAGAGGGAAAAGAGGAAAACAAAAAGGGUCACCUAAACAUACACUCAUGGAAAGUUAGGCUUUUCUUUAUGAAGAACUUUAGACGAAAAAGCAAGAGUCAAUAAUGGUUCCCUUUCUCUAAACUAAACACACUUCUCUUUCUUUUUUCGCUUUUGAAUCACUUAUGUUCUUUAUCAAGAUUGCGCAAACUGAAUCUCAUAGUUUAGAAGAAAGCUUAUUUUUCUUGCUUCCAUUAGCUCUACAACAAAACUACAUACUGUGCUAUUUAUCUUAAUAAAAACAAAGAUCAAUAACUGACAAAAAACUGCUAGACUCCAAGAUCCAUAUAAAGAGAGAGAAAAACAACAAAGAUUUCUCAUUUGUUAAGACAAAAGAUCGCAACCGACAAAAUUGAAACGAAAUUUUGGCAAGUUUCCAAAUUUGGAUCAAUAUUUUACCUGAGCUAUGAGUCGGCGAAACUGAAGAAGACAUUACUCCAGCUGACUGAGAUAGAGCUGGUAGGGCUGAAGCUGGAGCUGCAGCUGCAGGUACUGCUGGUGGUGGCGGCGGCGGCGGCUUUGGAGGUGGAUCAACCUGUAAAUUCGGCUUCCCUUCUGGAUUUGGAUUCGCAGCAGCUAGAUUCGAAGCCGGAGUUGGAGUCCGAGUCUGUGUUCUGGCGCUCUCCUCUGCUAAAGCAUCACAG